ensembl:misc_RNA Metazoa_SRP Metazoan signal recognition particle RNA
GCCAGGCACGGUGGCAUGUAUCUGUAGUCCCAGCUACUUGGGAGGCUGGGGUGAGGGGAUGGCUUGAGCCCAGGAGGUCUGGGUUGUAGUGAGCCACCAUCUUGCCACUGCACUCUAGCCUGUGCAACAGAGUGAGACCUCAUCUCAA